rnacentral:rRNA from 1 species
AAUAGAUACCCAGGUAGUCCACGCCGUAAACCGAUGAAUACUAGGUGUCGGAGGGUACCACCUUCGGGUGCCGCAGCAAACGCAAUAAGUAUUCCGCCUGGGGAGUACGGUCGCAAGAUUAAAACUCAAAGGAAUUGACGGGGACCCGCACAAGCAGCGGAGCAUGUGGUUUAAUUCGAAGCAACGCGAAGAACCUUACCUAGACUUGACAUCUCCUNGAAUUACUCGUAACGGAGGAAGCCCUUCGGGGCAGGAAGACAGGUGGUGCAUGGUUGUCGUCAGCUCGUGUCGUGAGAUGUUGGGUUAAGUCCCGCAACGAGCGCAACCCUUAUUGUUAGUUGCUACCAUUAAGUUGAGCACUCUAACGAGACUGCCGCGGUUAACGUGGAGGAAGGUGGGGAUGACGUCAAAUCAUCAUGCCCCUUAUGUCUAGGGCUACACACGUGCUACAAUGGCCGGUACAACAAGAUGCAAUCCCGUGAGGGGGAGCUAAACUCAAAAGCCGGUCCCAGUUCGGAUUGUAGGCUGAAACUCGCCUACAUGAAGUUG